rnacentral:rRNA from 2 species
GCGAGAAAACUUUGCAAUGUGCGAAAGCACGACAAGGUUAAUCCGAGUGGUUUCUGCUAAAGGAACCUUUUGUUCGGUCCUAGAAACACCGAUGAAUAAGGGGUGGGGCAAGUUCUGGUGUCAGCCGCCGCGGUAAAGCCAGCACCUCAAGUGGUCAGGAUGAUUAUUGGGCCUAAAGCAUCCGUAGCCGGCUCUGUUAGUUUUCGGUUAAAUCUAUUCGCUCAACGAAUAGGCUGCCGGGAAUACUGCAAAGCUAGGGAGUGGGAGAGGUAGACGGUACUCGGUAGGAAGGGUAAAAUCCUUGAUCUAUUGAUGACCACCUGUGGCGAAGGCGGUCUACCAGAACACGUCCGACGGUGAGGGAUGAAAGCGUGGGGGAGACAAACCGGA